rnacentral:rRNA from 1 species
AAUGAACGCUGGCGGCAUGCCUAACACAUGCAAGUCGAACGACAGCACAGUAAGAGCUUGCGCUUGCGGGUGGCGAGUGUCGGAAGGGUGACGCAUGCAUCGGAUACCUCUUUGUCGGGGGUGAUAACGUAGGAAAAUGUAUGCUAACACAUCAUACUUCCUACGGGGGAGAGCAGGGGUUCUACGGACCUUUCGCGAGUGUAAGAGCCGAAUUCGGCGUAGCUAGUUGGCUGGGUAAAGGCCCACCAAGGCGACGAUCCGUAGCAGGUCUGAGAGGAUGAUCCGCCACACUGGAACUGAGACACGGUCCAGACUCCUACGGGAGGCAGCAGUGGGGAAUCUUGCACAAAGGGCGAAAGCCUGAUCCAGCCAUACCGCGUGGGUGAUGAAGGCCUUCGGGUGGUAAAGCCCUUUUGUUGGGAAAGAAAAGCAGCAGGUUUAUCCGCGGCUGUUCUGACGGUACCCAAAGAAUAAGCACCGGCUAACUUCGUG